CUUUGCUUUAAGUACGUUAUUGUGGCUGUUAUAAUAAAAUAUACUUCAAAAAUGUUAACCAUUCAAACAUAUUAAUGGGGAAAAAUCCUUUUUUUAGAAGAAGAAAAAAGAGAAGAAGAAAUCCAGUAGGGUGAGCAAAGAUUUCAUUUAUUUUUCAACACCUAAGAUAUAGUUUAUUUAAAUGGGAAAGGGUGAUUUUUAGAUUUUUAUUAUAAAUGUUUAAUAUUGGUUUUUAAAUGCAGGUGAUGCAGCUUUGGAUAAUAUCCAUAAAUUUGAGGGGUAGGGGUUAACUUAUUCUGUUGACAAAUUCUGCAUCUCACAAAUUUACGUUUUGUUAUCUUUGGUCAAGUUAUCUCCAUCUUCCUCUUCCUCAUCAAGCUCUGAUUCUUCCAGCAGUUCAUCUGAUAUUGAAGAUGAGGAUAAGAAACAAGGAAAAAAGAGAAAGAAAAAAAAAUAUCACACCUUACAGAAGUCAUCUGAAAGCUCUAGUUCAGACUCUGAUUCAGAUAGCAAGGAUAGUUUAAGAACUAAACGGACAAAGGAAGAUUAUGAAAGAGACAAGGAUUCAAAAAGUCUUGUUAGGAAAAGAAUAAAAGCAGACCAUACGGAAGAAUUAUUGCCAUCAGACUCUUCACUAGAAUCGACUGAAACAGAGGAGGUACAAGCAAAAAAGAAGAAAAACAGUGAAGAAAAAGAGAAAAAUGAUAAAACAAAAAAGCGAAAGAAACACAAGAAGCAUAGCAAAAAGAAGAAAAAGAAAACAGCAAGCUCAAGCUCUCAUCCAAAAUACUUAAGUCAGGUUUUUCUUUCAUCGAAAGUGCAGUGAGACUAUAGAUACCAUAGAGAAUUGCAAAUUGUGAAAAUUAUGAUAAAAUCUGCCAACUGCAUGAGCUCUCCUAUGUGUUAACAAAUCUAGACAUUCAGCUUGCCCAGUACCAUUGGGCUGGAAAUAGCCAUUGUUGUUGCCUGAUGCUUAAUAUACAUAUAGUACCCUUCUCUAGAACUCCAGUAGCUAAUAGGACAUUUUGGAAAGAAGCCCUUCCCAUGGUUUACAUGAUUGAGCAGUAGAGUAAAACUGGAUGGAUGCCAGAAAGUUUUGCCUACUUUAUUCAGGGAUAUGUGCAUGUGAUCUGAUAUGCAGAUGUCAAUCAGCUUCAUUGUUGUAAUGAAUGAGGCAACUCCCCGUGGACUAAGAUGCAUCAGGAGGCCUGUAUCUAUAAACCAAAGUUGAAUUUGGGUGUUUUAUUUUAACAGCCUAGUAGUGAAACUUAAUUUUUUAUUAUAAAGACAUUUGCAAAAUUCUUCUACAGAAUCGAAUUUAGCAACUCCUGUGACAUUUUAUUUUUACUGAUACCAUUUUUGGAAUAGGAAC
rnacentral:lncRNA from 1 species